rnacentral:rRNA from 1 species
CACGUAGGGGGCAAGCGUUGUCCGGAUUUAUUGGGCGUAAAGAGCUCGUAGGUGGUUCGAUAAGUCGGGUGUGAAAACUCUGGGCUCAACUCAGAGACGCCACUCGAUACUGUCGUGACUUGAGUCUGGUAGGGGAGUGUGGAAUUCCCAGUGUAGCGGUGAAAUGCGCAGAUAUUGGGAGGAACACCAGUGGCGAAGGCGGCACUCUGGGCCAGUACUGACGCUGAGACACGAAAGCGUGGGGAGCAAACAGG